UACGUAGGGGGCAAGCGUUGUCCGGAAUUAUUGGGCGUAAAGAGCGUGUAGGCGGCCAGACAGGUCUGUUGUGAAAACUAGAGGCUUAACCUCUAGACGUCGACAGAAACCGUUUGGCUAGAGUCCGGAAGAGGAGAGUGGAAUUCCUGGUGUAGCGGUGAAAUGCGCAGAUAUCAGGAAGAACACCAAUGGCAAAGGCAGCUCUCUGGGACGGUACUGACGCUGAGACGCGAAAGCGUGGGGAGCGAACAGG
rnacentral:rRNA from 1 species